GCGAUUAACAACUCAUCUAGACUCAAUAACAGCUCAUCAUUUAAGAAUAUGUGCAAAAAGAUAAAUUCACAAAUAAUUACAAGGUUGGACUUUGGUAUUGAAGGCACUUAGAAAUGGAAAAGACUAGAAAUGAAAUGAAAUGUCAACUUUAAGAUUAGAUUUCACCAAUUCACUCUUGUGUAUAACCAAUUUCAUCUCCUCUCUAU
rnacentral:lncRNA from 1 species